CUCCGUGACUCCUACGGGAGGCAGCAGUGGGGAAUAUUGCACAAUGGGGGAAACCCUGAUGCAGCCAUGCCGCGUGUGUGAAGAAGGCCUUCGGGUUGUAAAGCACUUUCAGUAGGGAGGAAGGUAGUGUAGUUAACACCUGCACUAUUUGACGUUACCUACAGAAGAAGCACCGGCUAACUCCGUGCCAGCAGCCGCGGUAAUACGGAGGGUGCGAGCGUUAAUCGGAAUUACUGGGCGUAAAGCGCAUGCAGGCGGCCUGUUAAGUCAGAUGUGAAAGCCCCGGGGCUUAACCUCGGAAUUGCAUUUGAAACUGGCAGGCUAGAGUCUUGUAGAGGGGGUAGAAUUUCAGGUGUAGCGGUGAAAUGCGUAGAGAUCUGAAGGAAUACCAGUGGCGAAGGCGGCCCCCUGGACAAAGACUGACGCUCAGAUGCGAAAGCGUGGGGAGCAAACAGGAUUAGAUACCCUGGUAG
rnacentral:rRNA from 1 species